rnacentral:rRNA from 1 species
GAUGAACGCUAGCGGCAGGCUUAAUACAUGCAAGUUGAGGGGCAGCAUGAUAUACGCGAGUAUAUUGAUGGCGACCGGCGGACGGGUGAGUAAUAGGUAGGAGACCUACCUCAUACAGGGGGAUAGCAUAGAGAAAUCUGUGGUAAUACCCCAUGAGGUUAUAUGAAUAGAGGCAUAUAAUCAAAGCAUAAGCGAUUAUGCGGUAUGAGAGGGGCCUACUGACCAUUAGCUAGUUGGUGAGGUAAGGGCUCACCAAGGCGAAGAUGGUUAGGGGUUUUGAGAGAGAGACCCCCCACAUUGGAACUGAGAGACGGUCCAGACUCCUACGGGAGGCAGCAGUAGGGAAUAUUGGGCAAUGGGCGAAAGCCUGACCCAGCCAUGCCGCGUGAAGGAAGACGGCCUUAUGGGUUGUAAACUUCUUUACUACGCGAAUAGAGGUUAGUACGAGAUACUAAUAGGAAGGUAGUGUAGUAAAAACGCACCGGCUAAACUCCGUG